UACGGAGGGUGCGAGCGUUGUCCGGAAUCACUGGGCGUAAAGGGCGCGUAGGUGGCGGUCCAAGUCAACGGUGAAAGCUCGGGGCUCAACCCCGAGUCGGCCGUCGAUACUGGGUUGCUUGAGCACUGUAGAGGCAGAUGGAAUUCCGGGUGUAGCGGUGGAAUGCGUAGAGAUCCGGAAGAACACCGGUGGCGAAGGCGGUCUGCUGGGCAGUAGCUGACACUGAGGCGCGACAGCGUGGGAGCAACAGG
rnacentral:rRNA from 1 species